UACGUAGGUGGCAAGCGUUGUCCGGAUUUACUGGGCGUAAAGGGCGCGCAGGCGGUCGUGCAAGUCGCGUGUGAAAGCCCCCGGCUCAACUGGGGAGGGUCACGCGAUACUGCUCGACUCGAAGGCAGGAGAGGGAAGUGGAAUUCCCGGUGUAGCGGUGAAAUGCGUAGAGAUCGGGAGGAACAUCAGUGGCGAAGGCGGCCAUCUGGGUCAAGAUUGACGCUCAUGCACGAAAGCGUGGGGAGCAAACAGG
rnacentral:rRNA from 1 species